CACUCAUCCAGAGGGGCAGAGGGACACGGCCCGACGAAGCCCCGGCAACCGCGCUCGCGCGAGCGGCGAGAGGUGCCAAUUCCGUCCCGCGCGGCUCGACGGCCCGACGCGGGGAAGAUGAGGA
rnacentral:ncRNA from 2 species